GGAAUAUCUGGCCCGAGUCUGUUGGAUGCACGAAAAUAUUCUCAUCGCUCAGAUUCUGAAUAGGUUACAUACUAAGCUGAAAAUUCUCAGGUUUGAUAUCAAGACUGGGGAGAGAAAAGUUUUGCUGGUAGAAGAACAAGAUUCAUGGGUUAACUUACAUGAUUGUUUCACACCAUUAGACAAAAGUAUCAGCAAAUAUUCUGGAGGAUUUAUA
rnacentral:misc_RNA from 1 species